rnacentral:rRNA from 1 species
UACAGAGGGUGCAAGCGCUAAUCGGAAUUACUGGGCGUAAAGCGUGCGCAGACGGUUGCGUAAGUCAGAUGUGAAAGCCCCGGGCUCAACCUGGGAAUGGCAUUGGAUACUGGCUCGCUAGAGUGCGGUAGAGGGUGGUGGAAUUCCCGGUGUAGCAGUGAAAUGCGUAGAGAUCGGGAGGAUCAUCUAUUGAGACGGCGGCCACCUGGACCAACACUGACACUGAGGCACGAAAGCGUGGGGAGCAAACAGG